UAGGCCAUCAAAAAGUUUAUU
rnacentral:piRNA from 1 species